UUAAGUUAUUAAGGGCGCACGGUGGAUGCCUUGGCACUAGAAGCCGAUGAAGGACGUUACUAACGACGAUAUGCUUUGGGGAGCUGUAAGUAAGCUUUGAUCCAGAGAUUUCCGAAUGGGGAAACCCAGCAUGAGUUAUGUGAUGUUAUCGAUAUGUGAAUACAUAGCAUAUCAGAAGGCACACCCGGAGAACUGAAACAUCUUAGUACCCGGAGGAAGAGAAAGAAAAUUCGAUUCCCUUAGUAGCGGCGAGCGAAACGGGAAGAGCCCAAACCAACAAGCUUGCUUGUUGGGGUUGUAGGACACUCCAUACGGAGUUACAAAGGACGACAUUAGACGAAUCAUCUGGAAAGAUGAAUCAAAGAAGGUAAUAAUCCUGUAGUCGAAAAUGUUGUCUCUCUUGAGUGGAUCCUGAGUACGACGGAGCACGUGAAAUUCCGUCGGAAUCUGGGAGGACCAUCUCCUAAGGCUAAAUACUCUCUAGUGACCGAUAGUGAACCAGUACCGUGAGGGAAAGGUGAAAAGCACCCCGGAAGGGGAGUGAAAUAGAACCUGAAACCGUGUGCUUACAAGUAGUCAGAGCCCGUUAAUGGGUGAUGGCGUGCCUUUUGUAGAAUGAACCGGCGAGUUACGAUUUGAUGCAAGGUUAAGCAGUAAAUGUGGAGCCGUAGCGAAAGCGAGUCUGAAUAGGGCGUUUAGUAUUUGGUCGUAGACCCGAAACCAGGUGAUCUACCCUUGGUCAGGUUGAAGUUCAGGUAACACUGAAUGGAGGACCGAACCGACUUACGUUGAAAAGUGAGCGGAUGAACUGAGGGUAGCGGAGAAAUUCCAAUCGAACCUGGAGAUAGCUGGUUCUCUCCGAAAUAGCUUUAGGGCUAGCCUCAAGUGAUGAUUAUUGGAGGUAGAGCACUGUUUGGACGAGGGGCCCCUCUCGGGUUACCGAAUUCAGACAAACUCCGAAUGCCAAUUAAUUUAACUUGGGAGUCAGAACAUGGGUGAUAAGGUCCGUGUUCGAAAGGGAAACAGCCCAGACCACCAGCUAAGGUCCCAAAAUAUAUGUUAAGUGGAAAAGGAUGUGGCGUUGCCCAGACAACUAGGAUGUUGGCUUAGAAGCAGCCAUCAUUUAAAGAGUGCGUAAUAGCUCACUAGUCGAGUGACACUGCGCCGAAAAUGUACCGGGGCUAAACAUAUUACCGAAGCUGUGGAUUGUCCUUUGGACAAUGGUAGGAGAGCGUUCUAAGGGCGUUGAAGCAUGAUCGUAAGGACAUGUGGAGCGCUUAGAAGUGAGAAUGCCGGUGUGAGUAGCGAAAGACGGGUGAGAAUCCCGUCCACCGAUUGACUAAGGUUUCCAGAGGAAGGCUCGUCCGCUCUGGGUUAGUCGGGUCCUAAGCUGAGGCCGACAGGCGUAGGCGAUGGAUAACAGGUUGAUAUUCCUGUACCACCUAUAAUCGUUUUAAUCGAUGGGGGACGCAGUAGGAUAGGCGAAGCGUGCGAUUGGAUUGCACGUCUAAGCAGUAAGGCUGAGUAUUAGGCAAAUCCGGUACUCGUUAAGGCUGAGCUGUGAUGGGGAGAAGACAUUGUGUCUUCGAGUCGUUGAUUUCACACUGCCGAGAAAAGCCUCUAGAUAGAAAAUAGGUGCCCGUACCGCAAACCGACACAGGUAGUCAAGAUGAGAAUUCUAAGGUGAGCGAGCGAACUCUCGUUAAGGAACUCGGCAAAAUGACCCCGUAACUUCGGGAGAAGGGGUGCUCUUUAGGGUUAACGCCCAGAAGAGCCGCAGUGAAUAGGCCCAAGCGACUGUUUAUCAAAAACACAGGUCUCUGCUAAACCGUAAGGUGAUGUAUAGGGGCUGACGCCUGCCCGGUGCUGGAAGGUUAAGAGGAGUGGUUAGCUUCUGCGAAGCUACGAAUCGAAGCCCCAGUAAACGGCGGCCGUAACUAUAACGGUCCUAAGGUAGCGAAAUUCCUUGUCGGGUAAGUUCCGACCCGCACGAAAGGCGUAACGAUUUGGGCACUGUCUCAACGAGAGACUCGGUGAAAUCAUAGUACCUGUGAAGAUGCAGGUUACCCGCGACAGGACGGAAAGACCCCGUGGAGCUUUACUGUAGCCUGAUAUUGAAAUUCGGCACAGCUUGUACAGGAUAGGUAGGAGCCUUUGAAACGUGAGCGCUAGCUUACGUGGAGGCGCUGGUGGGAUACUACCCUAGCUGUGUUGGCUUUCUAACCCGCACCACUUAUCGUGGUGGGAGACAGUGUCAGGCGGGCAGUUUGACUGGGGCGGUCGCCUCCUAAAAGGUAACGGAGGCGCUCAAAGGUUCCCUCAGAAUGGUUGGAAAUCAUUCAUAGAGUGUAAAGGCAUAAGGGAGCUUGACUGCGAGACCUACAAGUCGAGCAGGGUCGAAAGACGGACUUAGUGAUCCGGUGGUUCCGCAUGGAAGGGCCAUCGCUCAACGGAUAAAAGCUACCCCGGGGAUAACAGGCUUAUCUCCCCCAAGAGUUCACAUCGACGGGGAGGUUUGGCACCUCGAUGUCGGCUCAUCGCAUCCUGGGGCUGUAGUCGGUCCCAAGGGUUGGGCUGUUCGCCCAUUAAAGCGGUACGCGAGCUGGGUUCAGAACGUCGUGAGACAGUUCGGUCCCUAUCCGUCGUGGGCGUAGGAAAUUUGAGAGGAGCUGUCCUUAGUACGAGAGGACCGGGAUGGACAUACCUCUGGUGUACCAGUUGUCGUGCCAACGGCAUAGCUGGGUAGCUAUGUGUGGACGGGAUAAGUGCUGAAAGCAUCUAAGCAUGAAGCCCCCCUCAAGAUGAGAUUUCCCAACUUCGGUUAUAAGAUCCCUCAAAGAUGAUGAGGUUAAUAGGUUCGAGGUGGAAGCAUGGUGACAUGUGGAGCUGACGAAUACUAAUCGAUCGAAGACUUAAUCAA
rnacentral:rRNA from 1 species